UCCAUUCACUUUCCAAAGAAGUUCUGC
rnacentral:piRNA from 1 species